rnacentral:rRNA from 1 species
GACGAACGCUGGCGGCGUGCCUAAUACAUGCCAGUUGAGCGCUGAAGGUUGGUACUUGUUCCUACUGGAUGAGCAGCGAACGGGUGAGUAACGCGUGGGUAAUCUGCCUUUGAGCGGGGGACAACAUUGGGAAACGAAUGCUAAUACCGCAUAAAAACUUUAAACACAAGGUUUAAGUGUGAAAGAUGCAAUUGCAGCACUCAAAGAUGAUCCCGCGUUGUAUUAGCUAGUUGGUGAGGUAAAGGCUCACCAAGGCGAUGAUACAUAGCCGACCUGAGAGGGUGAUCGGCCACAUUGGGACUGAGACACGGCCCAAACUCCUACGGGAGGCAGCAGUAGGGAAUCUUCGGCAAUGGACGAAAGUCUGACCGAGCAACGCCGCGUGAGUGAAGAAGGUUUUCGGAUCGUAAAACUCUGUUAGUAGGGAAGAACGUCGGUGAGAGUGGAAAGCCCAUCAAGUGACGUUAACAAUCAAGAAAGGGAGGGCAACCUACUU